rnacentral:rRNA from 1 species
CAGUCGCCGCGGGAAUACGUAGGGUGCAAGCGUUAAUCGGAAUUACUGGGCGUAAAGCGUGCGCAGGCGGUUAUAUAAGACAGAUGUGAAAUCCCCGGGCUCAACCUGGGAACUGCAUUUGUGACUGUAUAGCUAGAGUACGGCAGAGGGGGGUGGAAUUCCGCGUGUAGCAGUGAAAUGCGUAGAUAUGCGGAGGAACACCGAUGGCGAAGGCAAUCCCCUGGGCCUGUACUGACGCUCAUGCACGAAAGCGUGGGGAGCAAACAGGAUUAGAUACCCGUGUAGUCCCUGUCUCUUAUAC